CACGUAGGCGGAUCGAUCAGUUAGGGGUGAAAUCCCAGGGCUCAACCCUGGAACUGCCUCUAAUACUGUCGAUCUGGAGUUCGAGAGAGGUGAGUGGAAUUCCGAGUGUAGAGGUGAAAUUCGUAGAUAUUCGGAGGAACACCAGUGGCGAAGGCGGCUCACUGGCUCGAUACUGACGCUGAGGUGCGAAAGCGUGGGAGCAAACA
rnacentral:rRNA from 1 species